UACGAAGGGGGCUAGCGUUGUUCGGAUUUACUGGGCGUAAAGCGCACGUAGGCGGAUUGUUAAGUUAGAGGUGAAAUCCCAGGGCUCAACCCUGGAACUGCCUUUAAUACUGGCAAUCUAGAGUCCGGAAGAGGUGAGUGGAACUCCUAGUGUAGAGGUGGAAUUCGUAGAUAUUAGGAAGAACACCAGUGGCGAAGGCGGCUCACUGGUCCGGUACUGACGCUGAGGUGCGAAAGCGUGGGGAGCAAACAGG
rnacentral:rRNA from 1 species